GUCUACAGUCAUACCACCCUGAAUGCGCCUGAUCUCAGAAGCUAAGCAGGGUCGGGCCUGGUUAGUACUUGGAUGGGAGAAGUAAAUAAAAGCGCAAAGGUAAUGAUGGCU
rnacentral:rRNA from 1 species